rnacentral:misc_RNA from 1 species
UAAAUAAACUAGAGACUUAUUUUACAAGUACUGGAACAACAUUUAGGUCUAUAAAGUUCAUAAUGGACCAAAAGAAAAAACCCUGUCAAAAGAUAAAAGUGUGUAUGCCUAUGCUUCACAAGACUGCAAACUUACAUGUACAGGAAAGUUUGUAUCUCACUUGUAGAGGCGAAGGUUAAUCUUCUUGUUGAAAUAAAGUAUAAUCUGAACUGGCUUCGCUCUUGUGGACCUCAG